rnacentral:lncRNA from 1 species
AAAUAGAAUGAUCUCCAAAUAAAUUCUUAAUUGGUGGAGGGGGGUAGGUAGAAUCAAGCACAGAAAAUGUGCAUAGUAUGCUCCCAUAUGUAAUACAGUUAAUGGAUAUCUAUUACAUAAUGUUUCUAGAUUAUAUAAUAUUUCUAGGAGAAUGUGUAAGAAACUGUUGACAGCGGUUCCCUUUCGGUGUGGAUGGUUUGGGGACUAAAGGUCUGAAGUGAGAGGCAAACAUCUCAAUACCUUUUGUGCCACUGGAAUUUCUUUUACUGUGUUCAUAUUAAUUUUUUACUAUAAAAAGUAGUUUAAAAAUUUCUUGACCAGAUAACAGGGUGUUCUGAGAUUGAACUUUAAUAUUUCUCUGCCCUUGAUAGCAGGAAGCAGGGACACCACUGCCGGCCAUGGGUGGCCUGUGGCUCUGCAGCUGGAAGGGGGCAUUUGUACAAGCAGGUCAGGGAAGCUGCUGGAAGAUGCUCCUGGGGUAGGGAAGAGAGUACACCUGAGUCCUGGCUCAGGAAGCCAAGUGAGAUAAACGGAAUCUUGAUUGCAGAGAUUCAGCCUGAAAUGGCAAACUUCCGGUUGAGAAAUGUAAAAGCCCAUCCCGUGGUAUGGAGGAUUUAUCUUGAUAAAACUUGUGUGUGUGUGUGUGAAUAGAUUUUUAAAAAGGUUUCUGGUAGGUUGGGACACAAACCCUUUUCAGAGGCUGUGUGACUAAGGGGAGAAAGUACCUGGAGGAAGGGAUUGUGGACUAAGAAUAGGACAGCCAGCUGUAGUUUGUUUGUUUUCAGACAGAGUCUCACUCUGUCGCCCAGGCUGGGGUGCAGUGGUGUGAUCUCGGCUCACUGCAACCUCUGCCUCCCAGGCUCAAGCAAUUCUCUGCCUCAGCCUCCUGAGUAGCUGGGAUUACAGGCACCCACCCCCGUGCCCGGCUAAUAUUUUUGUAUUAUUAGUAGAGACGGGGUUUCAUCAUCUUAGCCAGGCUGUUCUUGAACUCCUGACCUCGUGAUCCACCCGUCUCAGCCUCCCAAGGUGUUGCAGGCAUGAGCCACCUCACCAGGCCACCAGCUGUAGUUUGUAAUCAGACAAUACAGCAUUUGGACUUUGUUUCCACAGACAAGAACAUGCCAUUACAGGUCUUACCCAAGAACAUCCUGAUUUGUUCAUCUCAAGGAUUGGGCUUUGUGCUAGUGAGCUGGUAUCCUGCUUGGAACCCAGAUCAAAGAGUUGUUUUGUUUAUGUGCAAGAGAUGGUGGGGAGGAGAGAAGACUUCACCUGUCCCAGGUAGAUGCCAGAUGGGGAGACCCCAGUCCUUCUCCAAGAAAGCUCUCAGCUGAUGAUGAACAGGGGAGGAGACAUAUGUCCUGCCCUCAGGAGCAUCUCAUUCAGAGGUCAAAGGCUAAGGAGCCCAGGGACUUAAUUUUGGAAUGCAAAGAAUCUUUGUGGAGCCAUAAGUCCCUGCCAAAAAAAAUUAAGAGGGCAAUCCUGGUCAACAUUGUGUGUUCAGCUAACCUCAAGCCCAGAUGUCUGAUCCAAGCACUAAGAAGAGAGAACUCAAAGGCCCAGGGUGGACCCUUUUUAUAAAAUGUCAGAGGCAAGAUAUAGAUAGGGGAAAGGCCUGAGAUGGCCUUCAGCGAACCCCCAUAGGGAAGCAGGCAGUGGGACCUUGGAACAGGCUCCAAGAUGAGACAGCAUGGGAGAUUGGGAUGGGGGCUCCAUCUGGCCCAAGCAGAGGGAGGGUCAGCUGGAGUAAGAGGAUCCGUGACUCUGGGGAAAGCCCUUAGAGACCCUCUGGUCUAACGCCUUCAUGAAGGAAACUGAGACCCAGAGUGCAGCAUGACUGAUUUGGUGUCUGAUGUCAGGACUGAGCUCUGUGCAUGGCUCAGACUCUAGCCUCCCAAUCCACGGGACCCCCUGCAGAAGGUCUACCUGUUGGGAAUUGGAGGCAUUGUUGAAGCUCUUGACCAGAAAACCAUGUACUCACUUCCUACCUAGCAACAUGCUCCUACUGAAUUCUACGGAAAGAGGGCCUCUCAAGACUCAUGGAGUGAUCAUACCAGACACUUAUCAUCACCUACCCAACAGCUCCUCCCACCGUUUUGUCCUGCCAGAGCCCAGAUUUUGUAGUGGGUGGAAAUAGCUUAAUUUGGGGAAACAUAGGCUAAUUCCCCAACCCCGAGAGAUGAGUCUUAAUUGGUCACAGUAUUCCAAUGGGACUCCAAUCCCCCUUUGUGAAUGAUGGGUCUAAGGGUAGGCAAGUGACCCACUUGUGGCCCAGAAGACAUAAAGGGAAGUCUGCAUGGGACUUCUGAGGAAGCUUUUACUUUCCUAGUAAAAGACAAAGAUGCAGUUGACACCAUCAUGCCCUCACCCCAUCCACCUUUCUGCCUUGAAGGAAAGCAGCUGUGUAUGUAGCCUGGGGGUCAAGCAUGGGGGUAAAAGUGUGAAGGCUUUAAGAUGACAGAGUGGACUAUGGAGCGCAAGUCCUUGGAGGCUGAAAUGAGCUGUUGGGCCAAUGCCAGCAACCAUCUACCUACAGACUUCCUGAAAAGUAAACAUUAAUUGACCUUCUGGUUUAAGCCACUGUUUGCUGGGCCUUCUCUUAUUUGCCAUCAAAAGCAAAUAAGAGAGCAUGUAUGGCUAAGUUAAGUGUUCAGAAUCACACAUCGAGUUAGUGGCAGUUACCGUUCCAACCCAGAUCUUCCAACUCCAUGCCCACUGCUCCUUACACUAACCAUGAAGGGCCUUGGCCUCAUAGAGCUUGUAGGGAAAGGUAAGUG